rnacentral:rRNA from 2 species
CUUGCUCCCUGAUGUUAGCGGCGGACGGGUGAGUAACACGUGGGUAACCUGCCUGUAAGACUGGGAUAACUCCGGGAAACCGGGGCUAAUACCGGAUGCUUGAUUGAACCGCAUGGUUCAAUUAUAAAAGGUGGCUUUUAGCUACCACUUACAGAUGGACCCGCGGCGCAUUAGCUAGUUGGUGAGGUAACGGCUCACCAAGGCAACGAUGCGUAGCCGACCUGAGAGGGUGAUCGGCCACACUGGGACUGAGACACGGCCCAGACUCCUACGGGAGGCAGCAGUAGGGAAUCUUCCGCAAUGGACGAAAGUCUGACGGAGCAACGCCGCGUGAGUGAUGAAGGUUUUCGGAUCGUAAAACUCUGUUGUUAGGGAAGAACAAGUACCGUUCGAAUAGGGCGGUACCUGACGGUACCAACCAGAAAGCCACGGGCUACUCU